AAUAUAUUUCUUUAUUAAAAAUUUUGUUUAAAUUAAUUUUAUAUUAUUUUAAACUGAUACAAUUAUGUAGCUGCGGAGUGAUUUUCGAUCACUUGGAUGGACUGCGAGUGCGUGCUGCAAUUAUUCUCGUGCUAGGGUGGGUUUUUUCGGGGACUAAACUCAAAAUCAGAGACCUAGCAGCGGUUCUAGUUGAAGUUUCAACAAUAGGAUAGUCAUGGCCUCUGCCUACUGCCCAGGUGAAGAAGAAACCGUUCCAUCAUCGAAAGUCCAACAGCUAAUUUCAAGUCUACUGGGCGGCAGCUAAUUAGAAUAUAUUAUGUGUCUUGGAUCAAUUAUAGCUAAUGAAGGUAACAAACCCACAUUUAUUAACGUAAUUAGAGAAGAGGUAUUGGAUCCCACUCUAUACACCAGAGGCAUUGAGGAAUCUAUAUAAAAUUCGCAAGUGUCGAACGAAGUGUCAAUCAUGGUCGCAGUGCUCCGCAUCGUUUAUUUCUAUCCUAUCCUAUCCUAAUCUAUUUUAAUUUCGGACAUUUGCAACAUUCAUUCCCAGUACGUGCUAUAUUAAGUAUGUAAUGUUUAAAUAUAGUCAUGUUUUAUGUAGGCGAAAAUUUGUUGUAAAUUUCCGUCCUUACAGCGCUUAUCAAGAAUUAGAAAGAUGUCUGACAAUUUAUUUAAUAUAUUAACUGCAUUAUGGUGCAUAUUUACAAUAACUGCAUAAUCAAAAAAUUUUGAAAAUAUAGUUUAGGCCUUUGUUGUGUGCCACUAUUACUACAGUCUUACUGGAGUUGAAAAUUUAUUUUCAUAUGGAUUUUUUGAUUCCGACUUUUUGAAAAUAUAAUAGA